CCUUAAUCCCAUUUAUUCUAAACGCGUUUUCCCCUCUCUCAUAAGCGUAACAUCCUCACCGUUUCAACCUUCAACUUCAUCUCUUCCAGAAUUUCCUCACCGUCUUUGAUUUUCAUAUUCAAAAGCCCUUGAAUCCGAAAUCAACAAUGGCAAUCGUAUUUCUCAUGGCCACUUCCAAUUCAUGAGUCCUUCGAUCGCAUCUCUUAUGGCCCCUUCCAAUCGCAUCUUGAAGCCUCAAUCCAUCUCUUCCAGUCUCGACUCAGAGUCAGAGAGACAUCGGAGGAGGAGAUGCCACUCAAGGUCAAAUGGAGCGGCUAGGAUUACACGGUGCGAGUCUGCGGCGACGACACCAUUGUCGAACUCAAGCGUCGAAUCUGCGAGUUAACCAACGUUUUACCCAUUCGCCAGAAGUUCUUAUACCCUAAACUCGGUUCCAAGCUCAACGACCACUCUCUCAACUCUCUCUCAAUUCCUAAGUUCACCAUGAUCGGGACUAAUGAAGAAGAUUUUUUAAUUGUUGAUCCAGUGGAGGCCCCUGAGAUUAUUGAUGAUCUUGAGCUUCCUCAAGAAGAAGCUAUUGACAUCAAAGACAUGGAGGUCAACAAGCACAAGUUGAUCAAGCGCAAUAAUCAGUUCAAGUGCUUUGAAGGAGGUUUGAUCUUUCCAAAGUGAAAUAUGACGUGUCUGAUGGAAGUUGGAUCAAGCUUAAGAACCCAAGUAGCAAGAAGGUUUAAUCAUUGAUUCCCUCUUUGGUUUUGGCUUGCAGUUGUAGGGCUUGAGACUCGAUCGUGUCACCGUGAACUUCUGAAGCAUUUGAAACUGCUUCCAUUUUCAGAAAUUAUGUUGUUCAAUUCACUUGGUGGUCAAAUGGUCCUAAAGUUAUCACAUUAAGAAGGUUUACAUUCAAAGUGGAUUGAAUGCAAAGCCCUUGGUAAUUGAGAGAAAUGAGAUCGACAUUCAAGGCAUCAUCAACAUGGUAGAUGGCAAGCAAGAGUUGGGGUUGUGUUGCAGGGAACAAAGACCUUUAUUAGCUCCGAAGCAGAUGCCAAAGUGCAUGGGCUCAGUUUCGAUCUCGCCUAACCAAAGCUAAUAAGGUGUAUCUUGAAGGACUGAAACGAAUUGGGAAGGGUUGAUGUAUGUUGAUAAUUGUUUAGAGAGGCUGAAUAAUUACCUGCAAUUUUGGCAGCAAGUAAGGGAGAACCUGCUCAAACUGAUAAUGAUGUGUGACUGGAUUUCAGCUUGGAUGUGUGAUAGGACUGACUCUUUCAGCUUGGAGCUAAUGAUUGUCAAACUUGAUAGUAAAUUGCCAACUGUUAAUGGGAUUCUCUUAUCUUAGUGCAUGAGAGAGAAAAUUACAAGUCUUGGUUUUAUCCAGAAGAGAUGGAGAAAGAAAAUAUGAGGGAAGAGAGAGUUUGACUGGUGUGACUCCAGUGUGAGUUUUGUAGUGAGGGUUUUGGUUUGAGCAUGGAGAAAGAGCUGACGGUGGUUUAGGAGUGGUGUUGGCUGAAAAAUUCAAGUAUAAGCAUGGCAAUCUGACUAUGUGUUAUGAGCACAAGGUUCACAGUGGGCAAAGACACUGCAUGUGGUGUCAGUGGUCACCGCCAAGCUUUCUUCUUCUUGUGUUUGAUUUCUCUGGUGCAAGCACAAGGAAAAGAGAGGGGUGAUCAGUCACUGUCAAGGAUGGGGCUAUUUAUGGGCAAAUGGAAGAAGGCAUAGAUAUUACUCAUAUUUGUUUUAUUCUGGUACUCUGUUUUGUUAGUUUCAAAUCUUCAUUCCAAAGAAAAAUUUAGGAAAUAUAUAGUGGUAUUGAAUCAGACAUGUUCUUGAUAAUAGGAAAAUGAAGUUGCUUUAUUCUCUUAUUUAUUUAGGCAUUACGUUUCUAAGUCUCGGUAUUUUUCAUGCAGGAUGCUUCCAAUGUAUAAUACAUAGAUAUUGGUGGAAAAUUUCAUACCAAGCUAUCCACGAUUGUUUUCCAGAAUAUGCCAAAAAGUUUUCUGUGGGGAACACAUGACUCCAAUAUGCAGUUCCUAUAAAAGAGUUUACUGCAGCUAGAUACUAAGCUGAAUGAGUUGGUUGUGUUUCAUGUUAGUUGCCUAUUAGCUUAACUACUUGCUACUAUCUCUUUAUCUUUCUUGCUCUGAUGAAUUACUAUUAGUAUAUAAGGAUGUGUCUCCGAUUUCUGAAA